rnacentral:piRNA from 1 species
UAGGAGCUAUGGGACCCGGACAACUGCCU